GGAAGGAUCAUUAACACUAAUCCAAACAUCUCAACCUAGCCUUCAGUUGCAGUGCUAGUAAUAGUGCUGCAGCCUACAAAACUAAUCUAAACAAAGGAGCCUAACUAAGAUCAAAAUAAAAAACCAAAUUCUCAACGAUGGAUAUCUUGGUUCCCAUAACGAUGAAGAACGCAGCGAAGUGCGAUAAGCAAUGCGAAUUGCAGAACCGUGAGUCAUCAGAUUUUUGAACGCAACUGGCGCCGGCUGGCUCUCCAGUCGGCAUGCUUGUUUCAGUGUCUGUUUUUCUCCUCACCCACAUCUUAAUGCGAGAGAUACCCUUCUCUUGCUAAGCUGGAAAGCACUCUGCGCUCUGCAGGCGGUUUCGACUUGUUCGAUGGCCGCACUCAAUGCAGCAGUCACAUUGCAACCAAUGUGAACUCGUUGAGAGUAGAGGCAGCGCAGCUUCGGCUGCAAGUGCUUAGUCACUCAAACUUUCCUUGUAUCUGAAAUCAAGCAGGAUCACCCGCUGAACUUAAGCAUAUCACUAAGCGGAGGAAAAGAAAUUAACUAAGAUUGCCUCAGUAACGGCGAGUGAAGCGGCAAAAGCCCAAACUGGAAAUCUUGUACACUACGUGUGCACGAAUUGUAAUCUAAAGAGGGUUCGCUCAACAGGUGGUGACGCAGAAGUGCCUUAGAACGGGCCGCCAGAGAGGGUGACAGCCCCGUAUGUGGUGUCACCGCCUAACGAGUGGGUUCUCAAAGAGUCGGGUUGUUUUGUAUUGCAGCCCUAAGUGGGAGAUAAACUUCUUCUAAGGCUAAAUACUUAUGGGAAACCGAUAGCGAACAAGUACUGUGAAGGAAAGAUGAAAAGAACUUUGAAAAGAGAGUCAAAAGACUUGAAAUCGUUGAGAAGGAAGCGGUAGAUAUUUAUUCUUCUGCGGAGACCGGUGUUGGUUGCCAAACCAUUGCAUGCUGUCAGAACUUUACGGGCUACAGUGUGCACCUGGGGAAGUGGCCGGCUUGGUCUUCGUAGUGAGGCAAGAUGGGGUCGUUGCAUCCACAAAAGCUUCUUAAACCUGGGCGGCUUCGGCUGUCAGUUUGGGUCUGCUGGUGGGCGCACGGCCCGAGGGUGCCUUGUGCGAUCUUGCCAAAAUGGUAUUUACCGACCCGUCUUGAAACACGGACCAAGGAGUCUAACAUAUAUGCGAGUGUGCUGGUGGAAAAACCAACACGCACAAUGAAGGUGAUUGAUGCCAAGCGCAAGCAGCAGCAUCGACCGACCAUGAUCCUCCGGUGAAAGGUUUGAGUAUGAGCAUAUCUGUUAGGACCCGAAAGAUGGUGAACUAUGCCUGAGUAGGGUGAAGCCAGGGGAAACUCUGGUGGAGGCUCGUAGCGGUACUGACGUGCAAAUCGUUCGUCAAACUUGGGUAUAGGGGCGAAAGACUAAUCGAACCAUCUAGUAGCUGGUUCCCUC
rnacentral:misc_RNA from 1 species